rnacentral:rRNA from 1 species
AUUGAACGCUGGCGGCAGGCCUAACACAUGCAAGUCGAGCGAGCGGCGGACGGGUGAGUAAUGUCUGGGAAACUGCCCGAUGGAGGGGGAUAACUACUGGAAACGGUAGCUAAUACCGCAUACCAUCAGAUGUUCUCAGGUGGGAUUAGCUAGUGGGUGGGGUAACGGCUCACCUAGGCGACGAUCCCUAGCUGGUCUGAGAGGAUGACCAGCCACACUGGAACUGAGACACGGUCCAGACUCCUACGGGAGGCAGCAGUAGGGAAUAUUGCGCAAUGGGCGCAAGCCUGAUGCAGCCAUGCCGCGGGUGUGAAGAAGGCCUUCGGGUUGUAAAGCACUGUCAGCGGGGAGGCGUUACCCGCAGAAGAAGCACCGGCUAACUCCGUGCCAGCAGCCGCGGUAAUUC